rnacentral:rRNA from 1 species
AUUGAACGCUGGCGGCAGGCUUAACACAUGCAAGUCGAGCGGAGAUGAGGUGCUUGCACCUUAUCUUAGCGGCGGACGGGUGAGUAAUGCUUAGGAAUCUGCCUAUUAGUGGGGGACAACAUUCCGAAAGGAAUGCUAAUACCGCAUACGUCCUACGGGAGAAAGCAGGGGAUCUUCGGACCUUGCGCUAAUAGAUGAGCCUAAGUCGGAUUAGCUAGUUGGUGGGGUAAAGGCCUACCAAGGCGACGAUCUGUAGCGGGUCUGAGAGGAGGAUCCGCCACACGGGGACUGAGACACGGCCCAGACUCCUACGGGAGGCAGCAGUGGGGAAUAUUGGACAAUGGGGGGAACCCUGAUCCAGCCAUGCCGCGUGUGUGAAGAAGGCCUUAUGGAUGUAAAGCACUUUAAGCGAGGAGGAGGCUACUGAGACUAAUACUCUUGGAUAGUGGACGUUACUCGCAGAAUAAGCACCGGCUAACUCUGUGCCAGCAGCCGCCGUAA